rnacentral:rRNA from 1 species
UACGAGGGGGGCGAGCGUUGUUCGGAAUUAUUGGGCGUAAAGGGUGCGUAGGUGGUUUGUUAAGUCUGCUGUGAAAGCCCCGGGCUCAACCUGGGAAUGGCAGUGGAUACUGGCAAGCUAGAGUGCGAUAGAGGGGUGUGGAAUUCCCGGUGUAGCGGUGAAAUGCGUAGAGAUCGGGAGGAAUACCUAUGGCGAAGGCAGGUUACUGGGCCAUCACUGACGCUGAGCUGCGAAAGCUAGGGGAGCAAACAGG